CUUCCAGCCCCUUCUCUUUGGACUGAUUGGAGCAGAGGUAUCUAUUGUAUCUCUCAGACCAGAAACUGUAGGCCUUUGUGUUGCCACCCUGGGCAUUGCAGUAUUGAUACAAAUUUUGGCUACAUUUCUGAUGGUGUGUUUUGCUGGUUUUAACGUAAAGGAAAAGAUAUUUAUUUCUUUUGCAUGGCUUCCAAAAGCCACAGUCCAGGCUGCAAUAGGAUCUGUGGCUUUGGACACAGGGAGGUCACAUGGAGAGAAACAGUUAGAAGAAUACGGAAUGGAUGUGUUGACAGUGGCAUUUUUGUCCAUCCUCAUCACAGCCCCAGUUGGAAGUCUCCUCAUUGGUUGGCUGGGUCCCAGGCUUCUCCAGAAAGCUGAACAUCAAAAGAAUGAUGAAGAAGUUCAA